rnacentral:rRNA from 1 species
UACGUAGGGUGCGAGCGUUGUCCGGAAUUAUUGGGCGUAAAGAGCUUGUAGGCGGUUUGUCGCGUCUGCUGUGAAAUCUCAAGGCUCAACCUUGAGCUUGCAGUGGGUACGGGCAGACUAGAGUGUGGUAGGGGAGACUGGAAUUCCUGGUGUAGCGGUGAAAUGCGCAGAUAUCAGGAGGAACACCGAUGGCGAAGGCAGCCCCCUGGGCUGAGAUUGACGCUCAGGCACGAAAGCGUGGGGAGCGAACAGG